AGUUUGGCUCAGUAGAUAGAACGUUGGCCUGUGGACUGAAGGGUCCUGGGUUCAUUUCCAGUCAAAGCCAUGUACCUCGUUGCAGGCUCAGUCCCAGGCCCUGGUUAGGGCUUGCACAGGAGACAACCAAUCUAUGUGUCUCUUAUAUCCAUGUUUCUCAAGAACAUGUUUAAAUUUUCUGUCUACUAUAAACUGAGCACAUAGCUAAAAAUCAGGGACUAUAAGUAAAAUUAAGGUUGUGAACUUUAUUUUUAGUGAUUUGGCAGGUAACAUAAAUGGAAGACAACAGGGAGUGGUGAAGUCUGUUUUGCCUUGCUUAAAAGCAUUUCCUUUCAGUUACAGACACUGUUAACCCUGGAAUACAAAGGCAACCCUGAUCUGUGUGGUGAUAGUUGUAAUCCCAACAGGCCAGUGAUCAGGAACAAAGUCUGAAGAACAUAAAGUACAGGUCAAAGAGGAGCCCUGAAAUAGAUACCAAGGAAGUAGGUGAAAUCAGGUGAUAAGUAUCCUUCAUUUUCUAAAUUAAGAAAAUGAAGAGCAAAAAAAAUAAGGGAAGCAUA